rnacentral:rRNA from 1 species
GACGUAGGGUGCAAGCGUUGUCCGGAAUUAUUGGGCGUAAAGGGCUCGUAGGCGGUUUGUCGCGUCGGGAGUGAAAACACGGGGCUUAACCCCGUGCCUGCUUCCGAUACGGGCAGACUAGAGGUAUGCAGGGGAGAACGGAAUUCCUGGUGUAGCGGUGAAAUGCGCAGAUAUCAGGAGGAACACCAAUGGCGAAGGCAGCUCGCUGGAACGGUACUGACGCUGAGGCGCGAAAGCGUGGGGAGCAAACAGG